UAUCCAUAUUUCACAAUAUUUUUUCUGUGUAUAAAUUUCGAAAGUUCAACUGAAACUAAUUUCCAGUUUUAGCCAAAACAUCUGGAACACAUCAACAAAAUUUCGUAUCAUUUUUCAACACUUCAGACUCAGAUUCCAUUUGGGGUCAACAGCAAAAACAAUUGCAGCUGCAAGUAUGAAGUUGCAUAUUGCAACCUGUUAGAAUUGCAAUUACCGGCGCUGAUGUUGGCGGUGAUUUUUCAGGAGGAGGCACGUCUAGACUCGAAAUUACUGUGUGUAUGUGGUUACUGCUGAUGUUGCAGCCACUGCUAAUGGCCAUUGCGUCUGUUGCAAAUGUGGCUGGGCUGCAACUCUGCGGCACAUAUUGCGAAAAUCUUCAGCAAAACAAAACAGCGCGAAACCAGACGAUAAUCAAGCGGCCAAGAGUCAAGAAAAAUGGUCAGAAAACUGGUUUUACCAACUCAUUUUUCCUUCUUUUUUCGGUCUUUUCAGGCUUCAGUGGAAGUGAUUUCGGUUUUAGACUCUUUCAGCUUUUGUCUCUCCUCUGUACCUGUCUCUCUCUUUGCGCCAUUUGCCAUUACAAUAAUUCUGUUUGCCCA